GAUGAACGCUGGCGGCGUGCCUAAUACAUGCAAGUCGAGCGAACGGACGAGACGCUUGCUUCUCUGAUGUUAGCGGCGGACGGGUGAGUAACACGUGGAUAACCUACCUAUCAUACUGGGAUAACUUCGGGAAACCGGCGCUAAUACCGUAUGAUAUUUUGCACCGCAUGGUUCAAAAGUGAAAGACGGUCUUUCUGUCACUUAUAGAUGGAUCCGCGCUGCAUUAGCUAGUUGGGAAGGUAACGGCUUACCAAGGCAACGAGGCAUAGCCGACCUGAGAGGGGGAUAGGCGACACUGGAACUGAGACACGGUCAAGACACCUACGGGAGGCAGCAGUAGGGAAUGGUCCGCAAUGGGCGAAAGCAUGACGGAGCAAGGCCGCGUGAGUGAUGAAGGUCUGCGGAUCGUAAAACUCUGUUAUUAGGGAAGAACAGAUGUGUAAGUAACUGUGCACAUCGUGACGGUAACGAAUCAGAAAGCCACGGCUAACUACGUG
rnacentral:rRNA from 1 species